rnacentral:rRNA from 1 species
GAUGAACGCUGGCGGCGUGCCUAACACAUGCAAGUCGAGCGAACAGAUGAGGAGCUUGCUCCUCUGACGUUAGCGGCGGACGGGUGAGUAACACGUGGAUAACCUACCUAUAAGACUGGGAUAAAUUCGGGAAACCGGAGCUAAUACCGGAUAAUAUAUUGAACCGCAUGGUUCAAUAGUGAAAGACGGUUUUGCUGUCACUUAUAGAUGGAUCCGCGCCGCAUUAGCUAGUUGGUAAGGUAACGGCUUACCAAGGCAACGAUGCGUAGCCGACCUGAGAGGGUGAUCGGCCACACUGGAACUGAGACACGGUCCAGACUCCUACGGGAGGCAGCAGUAGGGAAUCUUCCGCAAUGGGCGAAAGCCUGACGGAGCAACGCCGCGUGAGUGAUGAAGGUCUUCGGAUCGUAAAACUCUGUUAUUAGGGAAGAACAAAUGUGUAAGUAACUAUGCACGUCUUGACGGUACCUAAUCAGAAAGCCACGGCUAACUACGUG